GAGAUCUUCUUAACCCAGGGAUCAAACUCAGGUGUCCUGCAUUGGAAAAAAAAUUUCUUUACCACCUGAGCCACCAGAGAAGCCCUUCCUUCCUUUGGAGGGAGGCUCCCCUGCCAAGCCAGCUUAAAAUAGUUCCUUCUAUUGCUCCUGGUUCUUGUUAACUGCUUGAGGCAGCUUUUCCCUCCUGCAAAAGUGCACUGUUGCUGAGAGGAACUUGACUGUCAGCCAGAGACAGUGAAAGCUCUUUGUCCGUCUCCAAUCCUCAACAACAUUUGCAGGCAAAUGCAAGCUUCUUGCUGUGUCAUGGAUGUGAUUCAACUUUCACCUGGAACAAACAACUCAGGAGGUGAAGCAGUCAGCACGCCUGCUCGUUCUCACUCUGUAGCACCAACAACAAAGACUGCUGGUGCUGAAGGCUCUGUGAAUUAAAUGGACUUCAGUCUAUGGCGGGAAAAUCCUUCUCAAAUUCUGACUCCCAAGUGGGGCUUUUUUCCCUUCUCUCUUGAAGGUUCUGCUUUGUCUCUAAACUGUCAACUCAGAAUGGAGACAAACAGCUUUUCCGGCUUGGAUGGUUUGACUGUAUAAUAUAACCAUUAAAUGUCUUAAAACUGGUCUGAAUUUGAAGGUGUUAGAAAAUUCACAGGAGAUCAUUCUUUGUGUGAUUCUGAAAUUAUUUUCAAUUACAGAUUAGAGCACCGCAGUGUCUGUAAUAUCAUUUAAUGAGGCAUAAUUCUUCCUCUUGUCAUUUUUUCCCCUUGAUUGAGAUGGGCACCCUUAAGCCUCCUGACAGAUUCCAGAAUGCUGACAAUCUCCACUCUAGCAGAUGAGAAAGAGCACAACGAUGCUGCAAAUGACUGCCAGCAGAAGUGAUAGAUCUUUAAAAUAAACUGCAGAAGGCACCUAAAUUGGAUGUAAUUGCAAAGUAUUCAUCAAAUUUUGAAUUUGGACUCAGGAGUAACAAGAAGUACUAAAACACUGCAUAAGAGAACACUAAAAUAGAAGUCAGCAACUGUGUAUACAUAUAUGGAGGGGAAGAUGUCACAAAAAUAUCCAAUGGCUGCUUUUUCC
ensembl:lncRNA